rnacentral:rRNA from 1 species
AUUGAACGCUGGCGGCAGGCUUAACACAUGCAAGUCGAGCGAGCGGCGGACGGGUGAGUAAUGUCUGGGAAACUGCCUGAUGGAGGGGGAUAACUACUGGAAACGGUGGCUAAUACCGCAUACCAUCAGAUGAACCCAUAUGGGAUUAGCUAGUAGGUGGGGUAAAGGCUCACCUAGGCGACGAUCCCUAGCUGGUCUGAGAGGAUGACCAGCCACACUGGGACUGAGACACGGCCCAGACUCCUACGGGAGGCAGCAGUGGGGAAUAUUGCACAAUGGGCGCAAGCCUGAUGCAGCCAUGCCGCGUGUGUGAAGAAGGCCUUAGGGUUGUAAAGCACUUUCAGCGGGGAGGCGUUACUCGCAGAAGAAGCACCGGCUAACUCCGUGCCAGCCGCCGCGGUAAUAC